GUGUGCGCCAGCAUUCGUGGAGCCAUCCUUGAAAUACGGCCCUUUGGCUGUCUGAGGUCUAACACGCAGAUAGCGUGGACACUGCUUGGUGGGUAGUUUGACUGGGGUGGUCGCCUCCAAAAGCGUAACGGAGGCUUCCAAAGGUGCCCUCGGGUCGAUUGGUAACCGACCUUAUAGAGUGCAAUGGCAUAAGGGCGCUUGACUGGGAGGCAGACAUGCCGAGCAGGCAGGAAACUGGGGCAUAGUGAUCCGGCGGACGUGUAUGGAAACUCCGUCGCUCAAAGGAUAAAAGGUACUCCGGGGAUAACAGGCUGA
rnacentral:rRNA from 1 species